GGGGUUGUGACUCAGUGGUAGAGGGCUUGCCUCACACGUGUGAGGCACUGGGUUCACUUCUCAGCACCACA
rnacentral:tRNA from 1 species